rnacentral:lncRNA from 1 species
UUAUUUCAAUAGAAUAUUGUUGCCAGUAAUAUCAAUGCUAGAAACUGUUACUGACUUCUUAAGCUCUUAACAGUUAAUAUAUUAAACAUUCCAUUUCUCAUCCUAAAUUUAAUUUUAUUUACAUAAUUGUUAUCUCUGAAUACUGUAGGUGCUGGUGGUGUGAAUUGAAGAGAGGAUGUGGUUUAAAAUGCAUUUUAUUAGAAUCUUUAUUUAUUUAAUCAUAUUUUAUAAACUUGAUUUUCUAAACUGGAAGCAAAUAGUUUCCAGUUUAGAAAGACAAGUUAAUUUAUUUAACCAUUUUUGGCAACAGUUUAUGACAUUGAUGUUACUAGCAAUUAAAUUCAGUAAAAUUAAUUUUAUUGCUAAUUUCCAGAAAUAUUAAUUUUUCUGCUAAACUUCUAUGAUAUGUAUUUAUUACUGUUUGAAGCUGUAAUUAAUUUUGCAUAUGUUUAAUUUUAUGAUUUCACCAAAAUUUCAAAGUUUUUUUGAAUCCACUCUAAUGUUACUCACCUCAAGAAUGGAGACACAUGAUGUCUGUCCAUUCUGGUUCUUCACUAAAAUAUCUACCCUUACAAUGGAAAAUUUGCAGAUUAAACUUUUCUAAUAAGUAGACUCAAGAUUAUUCGAGAUUAAAGAUAUAUGAACAGUAUCAGUUUGGUUGAAAAGUAAACAGUAACCCAGUUGUUUAAUCCACAUU